GAUUAAGAUGGACAAAUUAUCAAGAAAUUGUUUGCUGGGCUUAUUAUUGGCUGCAUCCAUGAUUGCUGCAUGUUCAGCCUGCCGCUGCUAAUCCUGCUCUUGAUUCCAAACCGGCUUUGCAAAAUUCUGCCGAACAUUUGGAUAAAAUCAAGAGCAGAGAAAGUCAUGCGCUGAAAUCCGAAGAAUCAUAUGCCAAUUAUUUGAAAUCGCCGGCAGCUCCGUCUCCUGUCCCAGCAACAUUACCGCCACCCGUUGCAGGAGUUUCGUUUCCGUCACGAGCUUCACCAGCUGUGCAUCCAUCAUCUCACCCGAUUCCUGUCCCUGCCCUGUACAGUAACCCUCACGAGACCACCAUGGGUUAUGUCUAUUAUUACCUGCCUCAAGUGGCAGAAAAGUACUACCCUAAACUUAAGGAUUUGAUGCCUUACGUCAAAAAUUACGGACAUUCCCUGUCUCGCUUCUGGAAAAAUAUGCCCAGCAUGCGACACAUGGCAGACAGGACUUUUGAUAUCACAUCAGCCGUUGGGUUGGUCCUUUUGGCUCCCGUCAUGUUGAUUUCCAGCAUUCUCUUCUUGGGUUUCAUCGUGAUCCUCUUCCUCUUUCCCGCUGUAUCAGCUUUUGGUCGGAGACGCAUGGGGCGCGACCUGUCUGGCGUGGAAGAUCUCAACGAAGUUUUUGAUUUCGAUCGCUUUUUGCCAGCAGAACAGUCUAGGCGAUUAGCUUCGUUAGCUGCUCGCGUAGAUAACGUGCUCGAAUAACUACAUGCGCGCGUUAAAGAGCGACACAUGCCUCGAGAAAUUCUCAUGUCAGGCUGGCCACAUGACUAGCCGAUUGGGCAAGUUUACAGAGCCCAUUAUUACAUUUCUGGAGCCUCUAGUUCCUUCCUACUAUGUACAAGAAGCUAGAAGCGUUCAAAAAUGGCGCUCGUAGUGGCAACGCCGAUUGCAGCGAAAUGAAAUGCAAGCUUCCCUUCUUUGGAUAGAUAAAAUCUACAGCCUCAAAUAAUUCAAAACAUUCAUAUAAUUAUGUUUCUUUGUUGUUUUUUUGCGUUUUUUGUGUUGUUUUUUUUAAUGUGUAACCAGCCCCCUAUUUUUUUAACUUAUGCGACUUGGAUGCAAGUCCUUUUUUUCAUACUAAGGCAAGCUGGCCUUGCUGUUUUAUCCAUUAUGUUCAAGGAACCUGAUCACUGCGAGCUAAAUAAUACGAAUAAUGUCACAUUGA